GACAGAGGGUGCAAACGUUGUUCGGAAUUACUGGGCGUAAAGCGUGUGUAGGCGGCCGCGUAAGUCGGAUGUGAAAGCCCUGGGCUCAACCCAGGAAGUGCACUCGAUACUGCGUGGCUCGAGUACUGGAGAGGUUGGUGGAAUUCUCGGUGUAGAGGUGAAAUUCGUAGAUAUCGAGAGGAACACCGGUGGCGAAGGCGGCCAACUGGACAGAUACUGACGCUGAGACACGAAAGCGUGGGGAGCAAACAGG
rnacentral:rRNA from 1 species